rnacentral:rRNA from 1 species
CGCGUAGGUGGGUUGGUAAGUGAGGGGUGAAAUCCCGGGGCUUAACUCCGGAAUUGCCUUUCAUACUGCCAGUCUCGAGUGCGAGAGGGGAAGAUGGAAUUCCUGGUGUAGCGGUGGAAUGCGUAGAUAUCAGGAAGAACACCGGUGGCGAAGGCGGUCUUCUGGCUCGUAACUGACACUGAGGCGCGAAAGCGUGGGGAGCAAACAGGAUUAGACACCCUGGUAGUCCACGCUGUAAACGAUGGACACUAGGUGUUGGAGGAUUCGACCCCUUCAGUGCCGUAGCUAACGCGAUAAGUGUCCCGCCUGGGGAGUACGGUCGCAAGGCUGAA